AUCUAGAUGACGAGUCCUAAAUAGGACGAAAUGAAUGCCCUGGAU
rnacentral:hammerhead_ribozyme from 1 species